AGAGCUUCAGGCCAGAAGAUAAUCCAACAUGAGGCCUGAAAGAAACUUGGGCCAGAAAAUCUCCAGGGUACCUGCCCGCCGAAGUCCCUUCCGAGGACUCUCCUGAGCCAGUGGCUGAGACAUGCACAUCCAUGGUGGAAGCUCCAGGUCUGGGCAGCCCUCUCCCUGCAGUCACAGACUAUGCCCACUAGGAACACCCACCUGGGACAAAGCCUGGCCACAGUCAGAGAGCAGGACGGCUCUCACCAAGCCCCUCAGGUGGCUCCCCGCCGCUGACCCUGUGCUGCGUGGCACAGGCUUCCCCAACGCCCUGCCACAUUUGGCUUCCUCCAAGCAGGCUAUGUGCUUAGGAUGAGAUGUGGCUACUUUUAGCAAACAACACUAGAGUGGCUUCAGCCCAGCCACGGUGACUUCUCGCUCCCAUAAGAGCUCAAGAGGGAGAGGUGAUCUCCCUCCCCAGCCACUGGGGACCCCAGUUCCUGUUGCCUAUUCUGCCACUGUCAUCUUCCUGCACCACCUCAUGGUCCUGGAUGGCUGCACAGGCUCUAGCCGUCAUGCCCCUAUUCCAGCUAGGAGAAAGGGGGAAGCAUAAGUGGCAAGGAGAAGCACCCUCCCCUUCUUCUUUUUUUUUUAAUUGCUCUAUACAUUUAUUAUUAGCUAUUAUUAAUGCAGAACCAGGGGACAAAAAGCUCACAAACACUCUACACAAUUUCACAAGACACAUUGCAGGGGAAAAAGUGACUGAGAUGGAUCAACAGUAUGCUAGGGUCUUGGUGGACUCAUUCCUAGGGGAGGUGGACCUCUAAUUCCUGGUGGAGGGGGUCUCAUUCCUGGAGGGGGCAUGCCUACUGGUGUCCCUCGAGCAGAGGGAAGCCCAAUUGGUGGGCCCGUGGGUGGCCUCAUACCAGGUUCAGAAGCUCCAAGUUUAACUGUGGACAUUGGAUCUGGGGGAACGGCAGUCGUGACCGUGGGCAAGAGUAGCAAGAUGCUGCCACACACGGACCACAGAAUGAGACGUAUCCUACAAGAUGGCCGAGUCUUCAUUGGCACCUUCAAGGCUUUUGACAAGCAUAUGAAUAUGAUCCCCUGUGAUUGUGAUGAGUUCAGAAAGAUGAAACUAAAGAAUGCGAAGCAACCAGCACGUGAAGAAAAGCGGGUUUCGGGCCCCUCCGCUUCUAAAGAAGCUUGCUGGGGGCGCCACACUCACUGCCAUUGCUCAGAGCUUGGUUACACGGCCCGGCCACACCAGGCCACACAGAGACAAGAAGCGCAAUGUGCUGGCAAAGACUCUUACCGGAGGAGAAGGGGAGAAUGGCUGUCUUUGCCAAAUAGCCCGUCACGAACGUACCCCUGCUGGGCCCCCGCAAGUGCACCAACCGACUCGAAAGUCCCAGAGAGGGCUGGCGGGCAAGGACCUGAGUCUCCAGCCACCCCUGCAGGAGGAGCCCAGGGACCCUCGCAUCCCUGAUAAGGAAGCAGGUGGCGUGCCCUGCUGUGACCCCGAAACAGCCUGUAGUCUCACCCUCCAUUUCCACGAGACUCUAAGUCUGCCGCUUUUGCAGCAAAAGCCCAGUGCUGGGGGUGAGCGUGUGGGGAGUGUGGGAGACGGGCUCUGACCCGGCCACCCUGGGCAGCUGUGCUCACGCAGCACCCCCGCCGUUCCCAGCUGGACUUCACCUGGCAGGACAGCCAACAGGCCUCACCGUGGCCUCCGUCCCGGGGGUCGUGCAUGGGGGACUGGGCCAGCCCGAGCAGUGGGACAUGCUGCCUUCCUACCCUGCUCCACCUGCCACAAACACAAACUGGAAUGUUCUCAGCCACCUCCAGACUUCACACCCUUUGGGCUUUGGGGCACAGAGGUCGGGCUGCCCUGGGGAGAGGAGGGAGAGAAGGAGGCUUCGAGAGAGCACGGACAUGAGUCAGACCUGAAAUAAAGCAAAGCCACACCGCCUCACGUUUUAAAGCAAUUGCCAAUGUCUCAGCGUGUUCUGAAGCUCAGGGCGACAGCCGGGGGCGGAUAAACACCUGCCACAGAUGCCCAGCAUGCCCGUGCCACCCCCGUGCCACCCCUGAGGUCUCUGGACUGAAGGAAGCAGAAGGCCCUGGAGGGCACCUCCUGCUGGGCCAGGGCCACUGGGGUCUCCCAGGAGCACCUCCAGCCCUGCCCCCCAUGCCCAGAUUGUGGGGAGCACAGGGCUCGCUCCACUGUCCAUGGAAGAGGCUGGAAAUUCAGCCCAGCCAUCCCCACCCCAGGGACAGGCCUCCCAGGAGCUCACACUCAACCCCCACAAACUGACGUGGACUUGGGGUCCCAGGCAUCUUUCCUCCCAGACCCGAGAGCAGCCAGAAACAAACCCUCCAGAAACCUGCCUUUCACUGGUACAAAUAAAUCGACAAAGAGGGCAAA
ensembl:lncRNA novel transcript